GGUUCGAUGGCGUAGUUGGUUAUCGCAUCUGUCUAACAUUGAUUUGGUUUGUUGGCACAGAAGGUCCCCGGUUCGAGCCCGGGUCGAAUCA